UCCUGACCUCGUGAUCUGCCCGCCUCCACCUGCCAAAGUGCUGGGAUUACAGGUGUGAGCCACCGCGCCUGGCCGACUCUUGUCUGUUUGAAUGCAAAGUUCUCAAUAGUGGUUUUUGUCCAGUCAACAACAAUGGUUCCAUGAACUGAUGGAGAAAGCAAAUGCCUCUUAUUAGAGGCAACAACGAUAGUUCCAUGAACUGAUGGAGAAAAUGAAUUGAAUGACUCUGGGACCACAUUUUCCAGUGGCAUAGUCAUCAGAGGAAGGAGAGCCUACCCAGUGUGAUGUGAAUAAAUGGAUGAGGUUCUACUUUGUUACUGCUUCAUGGCCCAGUUUCCUAAUGCACGUUACGGAUUGUGCAAGUUUACAACAUCAUCUAACUAACUGAACCCCUACAAUGUGAGAAGACUCUCACAAUUGCCUUUCUCAAGAACACCACCUUGGCCACUUCACCUUUCUCUGAAGAGCACCACUCGUCUUUCCCCGGAUGGAUGCAGGAUGCUGCCUCCACAGGGCCACAGAAGCCAUUGUUCCAAGAAGCACCGGCUUCUUGGGCUUUUAGCUUAAUUGGUUUCCAUGUUAGGACCUAGACUUCUGUCUCUCCCUUAUUUUCCCACCAAUUCCCACAGCAGAAUGCAGUCCUCUUCCAAAUAUCUCCAACAGUGGACCGCUCAUCUUCCCGUCAAGCUGUCAGUGACAGUCUAUUAAAUGGCCCAAUCUUGAAAUCCUUCUGAGGAAGACAAAUGAGAAAUAAACUUAUGAAACAGCUCCGAGUUACAUUUAAGUCUCUCCAUUUCCUUUAGUUUCUCUUUGCUCCAAGGCUUGAAUAUAAAAUGGAGACAGGGUUUCAGCGACAGAUGGCAGAGGAUAAUCUUUCAUUUUGCCAUAAAGUUAACCCUCGGAGGGGCCUGAAAAGACCUUUCUCUUGGAAAACCAGUGGCUUCAUAGUUCCUUGCUUUUAAUUGGGUAGAAAAAGCUCUUUUCUGAUUUUCAGAGAACGUGCCUUUCCUCUAGGCUAACCCACAUCGCAAGACACUCGGGUGAGGCUGGCCUCUCCAUUCUGAUUUAUUUAUGCUGCUUGUGGGUGCCUUGCACAUUUUAAUUAAUAAUGAUUUGACUGUGCGUGAGCCCUGGUGAUAAAUACGAAAACAGGGCUAUUAAAGAUAAUCCAAUAAACAAACCCAAGAAAAGCUGU